rnacentral:rRNA from 1 species
UGGGGAAUAUUGCACAAUGGGCGCAAGCCUGAUGCAGCCAUGCCGCGUGUGUGAAGAAGGCCUUCGGGUUGUAAAGCACUUUCAGCGAGGAGGAGGGUGGUGAACUUAAUACGUUCAUCAAUUGACGUUACUCGCAGAAGAAGCACCGGCUAACUCCGUGCCAGCAGCCGCGGUAAUACGGAGGGUGCAGGCGUUAAUCGGAAUUACUGGGCGUAAAGCGCACGCAGGCGGUUUGUUAAGUCAGAUGCGAAAUCCCCCGGGCUCAACCUGGGAACUGCAUUUGAAACUGGCGAGCUAGAGUCUCGUAGAGGGGGGUAGAAUUCCAGGUGUAGCGGUGAAAUGCGUAGAGAUCUGGAGGAAUACCGGUGGCGAAGGCGGCCCCCCUGGACGAAGACUGACGCUCAGGUGCGAAAGCGUGGGGAGCAAACAGGAUUAGAUAACCCUGGUAGUCCACGCUGUAAAACGAUGUCGAUUUGGCAGGUUGUGCCCCUUGAGGCGUGGCUUCCGGAGCUAACGCGUUAAA